AAUUGAGAACUAGGUGAGUCGUGAGACUGGGACAGGAGUGUAGAAUCGAGAGGUGAAGCUCGGUAAUGAUGUAUUAGCGAAGGGAGGAUGAGAACGACGUUUGGUGUCGUGAGGAGUCGAGUAUUUGACAAAUAUCAGUGUGAUAUUUUGGAGUCUAGAGAAUCAGGUAAUGGCAUGCAAGUGAUUGGAGUCGAGUAGGUGGUUGCCUAAACGAGAGUCGAGGAUUUUUUUUUCCAUUCUGCGACUGAUCAUGUUGGUGAGGAUGAAGGCCAUCGCGUUGCAUUAAGAACUGCAGAGCCAUAGGAAAAGUAUAAUAGAUGACAUCUGAAGUUUUGAGAAGGUUAGUGAUAACCGAGAGAUAGAGAGUUUUGAACAGGAGUUAGUCUGAGAGUGAUUUAGGUGCAGUAGAAUCGGACUGAGGCUUGCGAGAGUAGUUCUCAAGAUAGUGACAAGUAAUGUUGGAGUGAAGAGUAACAAACUGGUGAAGUGUCGGACUACGUUCUCGCAUUGGCUCCUUGGCAUUCAGAGAUCAGAGAGUGAAGCAGAGCUAACAGAGGACACUUGAGCUUUAGCAAAAAGAUUACAUCUUCAGGGUUCUGCUGUUAGGAGCUUUAGGAGCCAAUACUUGAGCUCAACAAUGAGCCUAAGGUUCCCGCGGAAAGGGUUGCUAUGUUGGCGAUUCGUGAGCAAUUCAGACAGUUGCAUGAGUGAGAAGUUUGAGCAACAGAAAAUGUAUUCGUGUGUUCUCGUUCGUGGUGUUGCAGGAACAUCUUUUUCGCAUUUUUGUGUUGGGAUUUCAGCUCGAACUCUAUCAGGCUCACUUGAGAAGAUUGCGUUCACACCGUUUUGACACCUGUGAAGAUUUGAAAAUUACAAAUACGUUUGUCUGUGGAGGGCUAAGUGUUUUCUAUGAGAGUACUGAAGAAGGCCACAAGGGAGAAAGUUGUGUUUCUGCCGCGAUUUACGAUGAGGAAUCCCGUCUCGAAUGGUUUGACUUGUCGUCAAGUAGUCGCAAACGACGGCGUUCAGUCCAAGUCUCCAAUCUGCGACAAGGACAUGGAGGAGAAGCGCUCUCCUUCCACACUGUAUUCCAUGAGAGGGUCUAGAACAUCUGAUGAGCUGGAACGGGACGGGGGAUUGGUCGCUCUCAAAUCUUCAACUAGAGAGUCAAUCGUGGCCCCUCUAAACCCUGUGACGCCAUUAAGAUGGAAAUCAUCGAAACGUUUAGAAAAUGAGAGAAAAAAGCUUCAGGAGGAGAUCAAAAAUAACGAGGCGGGGAAAGAGGAGAUGAAGGAUUCCAAGUUUGUUAAUGACAUCAAGAAGGAGCAAAACAAGACGAAAAUAGUGUUAACAUCAGAAGUGAAUGGUAUUAAAAUAUCCAACAAAGCUGACACAUCGAUUACUAAUCAUGCCACUUCGCAAGAAGAAGCUAUAAGACCUUUGGUAUCUUCAAACACUUCAGAGUCUGUGGUGCCAACACAAGCUGCGAAGACCUCUUUCAAAGGGAAUUCCAGUAGGCACAUGGGCGGUGCAACCUGGAAAGCAGCAGGAAAUCAGCAGGAGACAAUUAAUCAUGUCAAAGAAAAAUCUACGGAUAUGAAACCCUCCCCCUUGAAAACAAAUGGAUGUAUUGAUGAGCGGCCUACAAACCGCAAGGAAGUACCACCUCUCAACGCAGAGCAUGCAAAUGACCAAUGUAAUACAGAUGUUUCAGGGUUAGACAGGAAGCCCCAUACAGGAGAUGAAUCGCCAGUCAUAACAGUUGACUUCCUGAGGGCAAGACUUUUAGCAGAGCGCGCUUCCUCAAAAGCCGCAAAAGAUCGGAUUGAGCUUCUUACAAAAAAGGUGCUUGAUCUGGAAAGAAAAUUGGAUCAAGAAAUUCAGCUCAAAAAGAAGGCUGAGGAAGCAGCUCAAGAAGCUCUCUUAGAAAUCCAAUCACUAGGGGAACGAGCACCUACGGAGAGCUCGAAGUACACGGAAUGUGAUACUAACUUACUGGAGAAAUCGAUGGAACCAAGCCACACCUGCGAGACAGCUAAGAAUAUGCUAUUGCCAGAGAAGGAUGAACUAGUGACCCCUUACGAGGAAAAUAAUUCUAAAAAUAUAGAUAAAGAGUCAGCAAAUUGGGUUGAGGGAGAAAUCCAAGUGAUUGAAAAUUGCGUGGAUGACGCCAAGCCAUGUGGUUGUGUGGCUUUGAAGCUAAGCGACAUUCCGUCAUCAACUCUGGAAAUUGGAUAUGUCAACGAUCAGGUGACAAGUGAGAACAUAACUUCAAUGCCCAAGCAGGAGAAUGGUGAGCUUCAGACACUUCAAAGGUCGGGAAGUAAUGAUUCAAAGAAAGUCAAAGAAGAGACUCGUGUUGCACCGGGAGUGAUAUCUGCAACUGACGGCACAGUUGGUUGUGCUGACUCAGGGAUUAGACGACAAGAUAGAAGGUUAAUAGUAGAACUGCGGCUGCGCAACAUGUGGGAUCAGAUGACACAGGAAAUGGCCGCUCUUGCUGAAGACAAGAAUCAAGAGGAGGUUGUUCGUGAAGAACUUUUUACCUGGAUGGGCCAAGUUCCAAGUGUGCUGCAGGAUGUCCUUCCAAAACUAUCUGGUAUAAAGGAUAAGAAACUGUUGAAUGAUGCAAACACGGGGAAAGAGCAGUUGAAGGAUGUGAAUGCCUCGCCAACAACAAUUGGCACCAGUACUACCAGAAAAGAAGAUGCAGGGGAAGAUCAUUCAUUGGAUGAAGCCCAAUUUAGUAAAUUACAGGCAAAGGAGUUGAAAAAGGUUGCCACGUUGAUUGAGCGAUUCGAAGCCCAGGAAAAUAUCCAGCGAGAAUGGGAUCAGAACUACAUUCAGCAGAACUCGACAAGCAGGAGGGGUAGCGGGGAAGCCUCCAUGAGUAAGACAAAUAGCAGUCCAGGAACCCCUCAUCCAAGAGAGUAUCAACAAGAAACUCAACAGGAACAAUCUCCAAGGACUUUGCCUCAGCUUCACGAUCCUAGAUAUUAUCGUCACAUUACGGCCUCUCCGAUUUCACCACACCAUGGCACAAGAGAACAUAACUUGUUGGCUGGAGGAGAAAACGGUAAAGUGGUAAGUUAUUAUUCUCAGAACGCUUCUCCUUCCAUUUAUCUAGAUCCUCCAACAGUUGAAGAGAUGGAGGGACGAUCAGGUGAAGAAGGAACUAAUAGUGGUGGGAAUCACGGAACCAAAAACUCUAUGCUUCAUCAUACACAAUUUGGAAUGGAGAGGCCACCGAAUCCUUCCUAUAUUACAACUACUCAUCUCGGAUCAUCAUCAUCAGUAACGAGUGGAGGGGAGAACAAUUGCGAUAUUACGAACAGCCAGGUGGACAGGUCACAAUUUCUGGAGCAGAGUAACCACUACCACUGUCCAAGUGCAAGCCUGGAAGAAAGACAUGAGAGCCCUCCAGGCCAUUCUGGAAGAAUCAACACAGAAAGUGUAGAGCCUUCUAGAUCACGAUCUCUCGCUGGUUGGGUAAAGCAGGAAGAACCUCACAUAUUUGAGAUGUCAACUAACAAAGGAAAUAGUUCGUCUCAAUGGGACGUAUCUAUCAUGGAUCGUCAUCAACAACUUGGGAAAUUGGCGACUUGUUCACAGGUUGGCAAUAACAACGCAUACAUAAGGCCAGAAGUACCAUGCAACUAUCCUCUGAGAAAUGACGAGCGAGAAGUUUACCGUGGACGAAUGGAAAGCGUUUCAAGGAGUAUGGAAGGGCUUGAGGGUUCUUGGAGGUCAUUGUCUGAUCCUGAGGGGUAUGACAUUUUACCUUAUGCACACGUAGCGGACUCGGCUGAUUCAGGAAUCAUUAUAUCAAGAUCGGGCUCACAAACGCCCUUCCAGGUGCAUGGAGGCUCAGCACGGUCAAUCCAUUACCAAGCUGAAUAUAUGAUGGAUAAGUCUCUAAGCGUAGCUGAUUAUGGUCAGGAAUUUUCAGGAGAGAAUUUCCAAAGGCGACCAUCAAGUAAAAGUGAAAGGACUGCAAGCAAAGUGAACGAUUUGCUCAAAGCUUUACAAUUAGCGAAGCUUAGUAUUCAGAAUCCCGGGGCCAGAAGAACGUCAAUUUUAAACCUAUAUGAGCCCAGUUUGAGCAGGUACACUGGAGGUGAGAAUCACAAUGUCGAGGCAAAUUAUGUAGUUGAUGGUGGUGUUGGAAUAACCAAUGGAUCCUCGGCUGCACCUAACGUUUGGUCAAACAUGGAAGAUUCGAGAAGAUACUCAGUAGGUGAAUAUCGAGAAUAUGGAUCAACUCGCUGCCUCCGACCUGAGAACUCUGGUACUUUCGAUCAACUGAUAAGUGCACGACGAAAAGAGGCUGAGGAAGACUGUUUCCUCGCAGAUCGCUCAAGCCCGGCUUAAAUGCACCUGAGAAGGUGGUGAACAAAUUUUCUACUAGUGGUGGUAUGCAGUAUGUUUAUCCCACUAGAAGAUCGCCUUCUUUUUAUUACUAUCCAAGCUUAUUAUCCCACAUCCACAUUCUUGGUCCUAUUGUGGAGGUGCAACCCACACAGAUGCACGGCAGUUCCUUCUUCGAGUAAAUCAAGAGUCUUUGACCAGCUGUGCCACUGGUAAAUUUCAAGCAUGAAAGAGUGCUUCAUCUGUACAAAUUGUCUGUAUAAAUGUAAGAUGAACAAUCGCAGAAGAAAGACCUAGAUUUCUUGUGAGACCAAGUUGCAUCCGAGAAAAUCUGGAAGCUCUUUGGCUCCAAGUGCUCUUGAAGCUCUCUUAAGCUCAUGGCAAAAAACACAUAAACAAAGAAAAAGGAAGAAGAAGAAGAGGACUAGUUGCGAUGUUAUAAUGAAUAGAAUAGAACUUGUAGUGUGGUAGAGUCAAAGUUACAAAGGUUUGUUUUGGCUUGAAGUUGUGGGUACAUUUUGUAGGGAACAUCAGAAGUGUACAAAAGGAAAUGGAAUGGCUUGGCUAAGAAAGUCGUGUCUUUGAAAAAAAUAAAGCAUUCUUUAUUUUA